GGGAGGGCGGGCGGUUGGCUCGGAAGAGGUUUGAACGUUGGCGCGCGGCGGUCAUGGAGUCUGUGCUGCGAGGUGUCUCCGCCUACGUGGAGGUGUGGUCCGCCAACAGGACGGAGAAUUAUUCCAAGACCUUUGCGCAGCAGCUGCGAGACAUGGGAGCCCAAUCAUAUUUGUCACAUUAUUUCAGCUCAUCCAUCAGAGUCCAUUAUCAGGUUUCAAAAACUUUUAACAAGCAUGUGACUCAUGUAGUCUUCAAAGAAGGACAUUUGGCUACAUGGAGAAAAGCACAGCAGACUGGAGUAAAACUAGUUUCCAUACUGUGGGUAGAAAAAUGCAGAGAAACUGGUGUGCGGGUUGAUGAAUCUUUAUUUCCUGCAGUGUAUGCCAGUGAAGGAUUACCCCUACAUAUUAAAAAACAUAAAUGUAUGCAACCAAAAGAUUUUAUUGAAAAAACACCAGAAAAUGAUAGAAGACUGCAACGAAGAUUAGAUAAGAUGGCGAAAGAACUAGAUAUACAAAAAAACACUUCAGAUAUACCAGUUUUAUUAUUUGAGGAUGAUGGCUCGCUAGUGUAUAGCCCUGUUAAUAAAUUAAAGGAGCAAUGCAACGCGAUGGAAAGGAGAAUAAAAGACAUGAAGGACAAAAGGGAAAAUCUUUCCCCUACUGCUUCACAAAUGACUCCUGUGUCUACAUUUAAUUCAAAAUGGCCUGAAAAUGGACCAUUCCUGGGUUUAACCAGUUCAGCAGAUACAUUGUCACCAGAAGAGCAAAUCAGUGAUUCUUUAAACUCAAGUUUUGAUGACCUUUGGGGAAAUUGUAAAUUGAAGAAACAGAAGAUGGAGUCACUGGAAUGCAUUCAUGUGGCUCAAAGUGAUAUUUAUGUUUCUACACCUGCAUUGGAGGAUUCUUCAUUCUCCAACAAUGAUCGAGAAAACUUAACUCCAAAGCAAUGUAAUAGAAAACAGUUAAACAAAAAACUGAUCUUGCAACACUCAUUGGGGAGCGACCUUUCAGAAAAGGGAGAAUCUGAAACAUCUCCUAACAAGAAACAGAAUUAUGAUGAUAAUCUGACUUCUGCAUCAAUUGUGACCAACAGUUCAUUUCUCCAAGAAAGAGACUUGAGUUAUUCUGCUUCUUCACAAAGAAUAGUCCAGUUAGAGGCUGCUGCAGGUACCAAAGACAGUCACUCGGAUUUAUUAGUGAGCAGCAAAGAUUUUAAUGUGUGUUCAGUUGAUGUGAGUGUUCCUGUUGACCUAAGGGAUUGUGCUGUUGGACCUAAAUCAAAGGGGAAAUCAAAAAGAAAAAGAUCUAGUACAAAACUGACUACCUCAGUAUUAUGUAAGUCGGGGUCUGAAAAUGAAUUCCUGGAAGCAAUGACUACACGUAACAAGAUUUCACAUUCUGAGGAAGGUUUAUAUGAAGACUUUUUUUCAUCUUCUGACUUGAAUAAAAGUGAAAUACAAGGAAGCCACUUUCUUCUUGGAGUUCAACAGAAAUCAUCAGGUUCUCCUGAAGUGAUAUGUAAAGCAGGCUCUUCAAGGAGAGAAUCAAAUGAACAGUGUAGCGCUCUUUCCAAAAAGAAGAGAAAAACUGUUCAGACAAAUGACACUUUGUUAAAGAGUGACUGCAAACUAUCUGAACUUCCAGAAAGUACAAAAAGUGUAACUUUAAAUUGUAUGGUAGGUGGAAAAAAUGCUCAGACUGCAGAAGACUUAGUUUCUAGCUCACUGAAUCAACUCCAUCAGAACAGCUGGGAAAAAAACUGCAGAACUAAUGUGAAUUGUUCCUCUUAUUCUUCUGAAGCAACUCUACAGGACGAUAAUACUGCAGUGAUGGUAUCACUUUCUUUAAAAAGUGAAAAGAAGGGCAUAGUGGAGCCAAAAGAACACCCACAUAUUUUCCCAGAUUCUGCAAAUAUGGAAAAGUCAACAGGCGAUAAGAAGGAAACUCUACUCAAAAAAUGCAGUCCAAGUGUUGAAAAUGAAAUAUCAGUAUGUGAUGCCAGAUGUGGCUCUCGUGAAGUUUUUAAUGCAAAACAGAAUAAGCACAAUGGGGAGUUAAAGAACACUGGGAGAAUCAAAAAGCCAACAAGAACACUAGUCAUGACAAGCAUGUCUUCUGAGAAACAGAAUACUGUAAUUCAGGUGGUGAAUAAAUUAGGAGGCUUUUCAUUUUCAAAUGAUGUUUGUGAAACAACUAGUCAUGUAGUUGCAGGAAGUCCUCGUCGUACAUUGAAUGUAAUGCUGGGAAUUGCUCAUGGCUGUUGGAUUGUGUGUUAUGAAUGGGUGCUGUGGUCUUUGGAAUUUGGAUGUUGGAUCUCAGAGGAACCAUAUGAACUUUCAGCCAGUUUCCCUGCAGCUCCCAUCUGCAGACUUCAACGCCACCUAUCAACAGAAAAAUACCAACAGGAUCUUUUUAAAAAUCAGCCUGUAAUGUUUAUAUCUCUUACCAGCCAACCGCCCUGUGACAAGCUAAGUGAACUUGUACGAUUAUGUGGAGGAAAAGUUUGUAAAACCCUGCGUCAGGCAAAAAUCUGCAUAGGAGAAUAUUUGGGAAAGCAGCAACCUGAAAUAAAAUAUUUAUCAGAAAAAUGGAUAUUAGAUUCAGUCACUCAGCAUAAGAUAUGUCCUUUGGAAAACUACAUAUUUCAGUAAUGAGCUAACUCAAGAGCUCCCAUAUGGUUUUGAGGAAAUUAAGCAUUUGGAUUUAGCUUUAAUAAGAUUCUGAACAGUGAAUGAAAGAUUUAUCAAAGAGCAAGUAAUGGAUUUGUGAAUGCAGCCAAAUGUUCUCUAAAGUUUUGUCAGUGUCAUCUACAACAAUGCUAAACAGAAUACAAGAUGGUGUUUCUCUUCACAGCUGGCUAUACAUAUCCAUUUAUUUUAAAAUGAAACUGUGAAAAGCAUUAUGGAAGGAAACAAACACUUUAAUAUGAUGAAUUCACUCCCACCAGAAAUAGCACGUGGUGAUGGCAUCCUAAGCUAGUGUCAUCUACUUUGUGGAGUUCAUCUCAUAGAUGAGGAGAAGUCUUAUGUUCCAAAAUGGUCAAUGCAAACUCUGGAAUCGGUUACCUGUCUUGCUAAGUAUGAUCUAUAGAUCAUCUUACAGAGACUUUGGAAAAUGAUCCCCCUUAUUUUCCACCCUGUAUUUUCAGCAAUUGAAACUAAAGUUGAACUUUAGUAUCUUUAAGAAGUAGAGCUGAUUCUCAUGAACAUAUGAUGGGAAAGUGUAACAUAUAUUUGCCUGUACCAUUGCAGAAGGAGAACACCUCUUUGGGGGAAAAAAACCCAGUGUUGUCUCAGAUUAUGUUUGGAGCAAUAUAUAUCGUUAUCAGUAAUGAAGCUGUAAACUACUGCACUAAUGCCAAUAGGGAAGCCAUCUGGUAAGUCUGUUUAUUAGAGCACAGAACUGCUUAGUUCCCUUUAAGACUCUUUUUAUUUCCCUUAGAAUGCUGCUGAGUAGUUGGGAGAAAUAUAGAGAUGUUAAUAAAAUGAUUUAUGAAUUUAGUAAUAUUGUUUCCAUACACUGAAAUAUCUUGAUAAAGAGAAUAGCUUAUUUUUAUUGAAAACACAUUUGUAUAAAAAAAUUCUGUGGAUGAACUCUUAAUUCUUGCUCUUUUCAAAAACAAAGGAGGCUGGAACUAAAAUAAUUUAUUUAUGCCUAGUGGUGGGAAGAGAAGAUGAAGGACUAGGCCCUUGUUAAAAUGGGACGUGGACAUGAUAACGCAAAAGCAUGAGCAAUGAGAUUUUGCAAUGCCAAACUUGCUAGAGGUAGUUGAGAAUGUUUAGAUAUUCCACAAUCAGUUAUGGAAAGGGUUGAUUCACUGAAACCUACAUUUUUGAUCCUCUGAGUUUCUUGGUCUAGAAGGGAAUGGGAGGAAGGCACAGGAUGUAGGGAGUGCAGAAACAGAUUGACCAGCGGAGCACGGGCUUGAACAUCAUCUCUGACAUUCUAGAAAGUCCCCUAACCACUAGUGUAUGGGCCAUUCCUAGGUGAGUAGUUUUUCACAAAGACUUACUGAAAUUAUUCUUUUCAUUCCGGUACCAAACUCUAGCAAAUUUUCUCAUUUAUGUGAAAUGGAAUUCAUAUUUUCUAGGCAGCCCUAAAAUCUGCACCUAGUACUAUCCAGUACUAUCCAGUUAAUUCAGAAACCAGAAUCAUGGGACACCUAUACAUGAGCAGCAAGGCUGCUCCUAUGUGCUGUAAUUACUUGAUUAAUCAAAUCUACUGGAGCAAGCGCACUCCAGCAGCCUCCAGCAUCUCAUGUAUCAGCGUCCCCACACUUCAAAAUUGUGGUAGGGGCACAACUAAAGCUUGUUCAAUGAGUUUUAAAGCAGCCCUGCCACCAUUUUAAAGUGUGGGGAUGCCGAUACACAGGACACUCUGGGUGCUUUAAUUAGAGCGGAUCUCAGGAUGCCUGUACAUGAGCAGCAAGGCUGCUCUAAGUAAGGUGCCACCCACUCCCAGAACACAGGUAUAAAUGCACAAUAGAUGCAGCUGUCCCAUGUGUAGUGAAAUUAGAUCAAGUGGAACCAGAUCCCAAGCAACUCCAGGUUUGGGCUUUGAUUAUGCAAAAAAAAAUCUUACCCCACUUUUACUCACCUGGACAUAAAUGGUAAUAGUGUGAAUAUUUUAAAUAUAGCUCUGAGGGCCAGGCCCUUUUGAGAACAAGAACCAAAUUUGUGCUGUGACUUAGUGAAAUCAUUCUGGGUGUAUUUCCAUGUGACUGAAUUUAAUUGUAAGUAUGUAAAAUCCCUAUUCUGCUAUACCUGAAAGGGAAAAUAAUAGUGAGGAAAAGGAGACGAUAUAUUUUACUGUCCACCACAUCACCAACCUUUCUCAUUUUUCAUAGAAACUCUUCCUUGUUCCAUGAUUUUGCUUAUGUCCCAGCACACUUACUUGUUCCUCAUUAAGUGUAGGUAGAGCAGAAACAAGUUUAGCACCCUCGGGACAAACAUACUUGUCAUUAAGGCUGUAAGGCUGAAUUGCAGAACAUUACCAAUCUGGUCCAUAUUAAGUAAAAGAAUACAAAAAUAUGUUUACAAGCUACCAUCAUUGUAAACAUCAUCAUCAGGGAUCCUGGUUUUCCCUGAUAAAAAAAAAAAUAUCCCCAAUUUUCAGUUUAAAAAUGAAACACCAUAAUGGGGUUUCAUUUUAAUCACGGAAAAAUGUGGAUUUUGGGUUAAUUUUUUUAAACCAAAAAUUGGGGUUUUUUUUUAAUCAGAGAAAACCAUGAUCCCUGAUAAUCAUUCAAUACCUGCAAAUUGCUGAAGGAAGUAAUUAAAUAGGGUAACUUUCCAUUUUGAAGCUGUCCUGAGUUUAAAACUAUAGAGAGCUAUAGAGCUAUAUUUAAAACUAUAGAGAACUAUUAAUUUUAAAAGGUAUUGUGACUCCACACAGAGCCUGUGGCAGAAGGCCACCUCUGUUUUUCCCCAAAAACUCUGCUCUGUGACAAUUUGGUUAGGAUGGGCCCAGCAGAGGAUACACACCUUACCCUGUCUCUUUAGGUAACCUGAGCUGGAUACAUUCCUGAGUGAGGGAGGAAACCUGCUCCCUCUGCCUACACGACUAGCAUCAUAUACCUGGGUGAGGGGCUUGCUCCCUGGGGAGCUAGGAACUGCCAGUCUGCCCAGCAACUAGUGAUUCAUUUCAAAUUGGUUGGCUGACAGCCAACAGGUGCUGGCCGCCAUUGGACCAGGUAAAUGAGGUCAUAAGGGCUAUAUAAGUUAAGGACUGCCCAGAAGGAGGGGCAGCAGCCAUGAGGAAGACUCAGAGAGAGAAGAGCUGGUCCAUCUGAAACUUGCUCUCUCUCUCAAAACUCAUGAUCAAGGAACUGCCUGCCUCCAGAGGGAAUCUCCACCUACCUCUGGGUGAUACUUGUGAGUAAGAUACCUGAGAUCUAACUAGAUAUAUAGCUUGCAGUAGUUCAGAUGCGUGAUCAAAAGCUACCUAGCCAUGGGAGUUUGCUCUAUUAGGAUUUCUCUGAUAUUGCUCUACCUGUACCCUAUUCCAACCCUACCCCUUGUAAGCAAUAAAGUUCUCCUUUGUACCUAGUGUGGGAGACUUAUUGGGAGUGGGGCUAGAUUAUGCCUUGGGGUCCCCUUGGUUAGGCUGACUAAGGGAGACCACUACUUGUUCUUGAAGUGAAUCAAGUACCCUUGAGGGCUACUAGGCCUGUGUUUACCAGGGUGCACAGAGCCAGAAUCAAACCCAGCCCCAGGUGGUGGCAGUGGAACCCCCAAGCUAGUGGGUGUGCUCCAGGAAGGGGGUCAGCCAGACAUGAGGCGCCCCCAGGGAGGCACUUGGAGCCUGGAAGGUGGUUGGGCACAGUGAGGUGGGUGGUUCAACACAGGAGUGCCCCCUACUGGCCCGCCACAGAGCCAUAGCAGGAGUUGGAGAUAGUUUGAGGCUUAGCUGACUGUGAUGCUAUGCAAGGUGUUUUGUUUUACUGUCUGAUUUUUAAAGAGAAGAUAUACAAAAUAAUUUGUUCCAGUUUCACUUGUCUGGUGAUUUCAGAACUCGGGGGUCUGUUUCCUCCUCAUCACUUACGGAUGCUGCAAUCAGGACAACCAGGCAAGCAGCAUUCUGGGGCUACAGGCAUAAAUACAAUGGCAAAAAUCACUGCAGGAGCAAGUAGCAACAGAGGAAUAGCUUCAAACAAGUAUAAAGUCAAUAGCACACUUUUUCAUUCAAACCUGUUUAAGUGCUUCACACAAGCCAAAAGAACUACUAUAUUUUCUUAUGUAUAAUACAUAUUUCCCCCCACCCUCAAUGGGGUACAUGCAUUAAGUGGGAACGUUGUUUUCUUUGCUGGAAAAGGAGCAAGCCUGGAAACACUGUGUAUCUCAUGCAGCUUGCCAAGAUGCCUGCUGUUUGUCUGGCUCCAUAAGCUGAAGGGGCAGAGUCCUGUGUUAACUGUCUCAUAAGGCAGGGUAGAUAUUAACCCUCUUACAGCCAUAGCUAGUGGCCAAGCUCUGUAGCUUGUGCCUGAAGCAACAAGUGGGCUGCUGGUAGUACCUUGAUGAGGCUAGUGAUGUGGAAAUAAUAUUUUAUUUACAGGAACUUAUAUUAAAAACUAUUUAGAGUAGAGAACUAACAGUCUUGUUGCAGCCCGUGUAAUGCUCUGGGGCCCAACUUCGUGUGACGCACAGUAAGUCUUCUUGGGAACAUAGAGGCUGCUUGCAGAUGUUAAAAAAAAAAAAAAAGCAGUGCUUUAAUUUAAACUUGGUGUGUUCCCAUACCCAGCCCAGCACAGGCCCAAAAGAGGCAGCACCAUAGUUAGACCUGGCUGACCCAACAUCUUUACAGACCGGGUGCUUAAGUGGGGCUUUUUUGGUGUUUUUAUCUAAUAGUUGAUUGAAUCAGCUUUAGCUAAAAGCACCAAAAAGCCCCACUGAAGUGCCCAAUCUAUACAGACGCUGCAGAGCUGGGUUGAAGUAACCCAAUGCUGCUUCCACUAAAGUGUGUUUUUUUUUUUUGUUUGGUUGGUUGAUUUUAAUCUCUGCAAGCAACCAGAGAGUCCAGGGAGGGUGGCAUCCCAGGAGGCAGCCUGAGUGAGGAAGCAAGCACUUUCUGGUGUUGCAAGAAAUGCAAGCUGCCUGCUGCCAUACCCAGAUUGUCUCCUGGGAUGCCACCCCUCCUGAACACACUGUCUCCAGGACUUAUUGUAUAUCACACAGUUGUCUAUGACUGGAAAAAAUCUUUUCUUCUACAUUCUGCCUUCUAAAAGCAAGGUGUAUAUUUUACUUGGGAGCAUGUUGUUGGCAAGAAAAUAUGGUAUUGGAAACAGAAAAUGGGAUGCAGACACAAAACAUAAAAUGGGAAUGCCUUUUUUUAAGUGUUGGUAGGUACAAACUGCAAUCCCAAAUCCAAUGCGUUUCACCUGAACUUUUGGACAAUGCAAAUCUACGUAGGCUUUUUUAUAUCUAGCUCUAAAAUGAGCCAAACUGAAACUCCCAGAACCAAUUCAAUUCUCAAACUGGGAGAAAAGUUUGAUGUCUGUAUCUCCAAAGUUUGAUAUCCAAACUUCACAACCCAUGAAAUCUCAAAUUUUAAAUCUAAGACAGUUGAGACUUUCCUCCCAAAAAUAAAAGUUCUUUAGGGAGCCUACCUGCCUGAAAUGUGUAGCUCAUAUGUGUAGGUUCAGAUAAAUGCUUGUAAUAACACAUAUGUAUGUGUGUACUAAUAGAAGGAUGUUGUAGAGAUGUCUGGUUAAAAGUUUUGGUGCAAAAAAGAAAAACCUUGAUGUAAUUUUUUUUAUAUCCUACCAGUGGGGUAUAGUUUACUGGAUUUUUUUAGAGAUUUUAAACUGUAAUAUGAGAAUAAUGCAUGAGAGUAACAAUUUACAUUUGUAUGCUAAUAGGUAUUUAUGUUAUACUGUAGUAGAAAUGUCUAUCCAAAUGAUCAAUAUAGCAUAACAAUAGCACUCUAUCAUAUUGUCCUAUGAAUAAAAAUGUAUUUUACCUUG